rnacentral:rRNA from 1 species
AUUGAACGCUGGCGGCAGGCCUAACACAUGCAAGUCGAACGAGUGGCGGACGGGUGAGUAAUGUCUGGGAAACUGCCUGAUGGAGGGGGAUAACUACUGGAAACGGUAGCUAAUACCGCAUACCAUCGGAUGUGCCCAGAUGGGAUUAGCUAGUAGGUGGGGUAACGGCUCACCUAGGCGACGAUCCCUAGCUGGUCUGAGAGGAUGACGAGCCACACUGGAACAGAGACACGGUCCAGGCUCCUAGGGGAGGCGGCAGUGAGGAAUAUUGCACAAUGGGCGCGAGCCGGAUGCAGCCAUGCCGCGUGUAUGAAGAAGGCCUUCGGGUUGUAAAGUACUUUCAGCGGGGAGGCGUUACCCGCAGAAGAAGCACCGGCUAACUCCGUGCCAGCAGCCGCGGUAAUAC